GCAGCAAAUAGUGGAAAUUGUUCUUUGAGGACUAGAAGCACAGAAUUUAAAUUAAGGAAAGGGUGGUGGGGAUAUAACUGCCAUUACAACUUCUUUGCAGGAAAUGCAAUCACUGCCCCUUCCCAGUUUUUGCAACAGUUGCAGCUGGGAUGCCAUGCACCGCAGCGACAACAACAGACCGAUUAUGAGACAUUUUCCUGGAUUACAUGAAGUGCCAGUGAGAGAGAAAAAUUCCAGAGAACUCUUUCAUUACGUGCCUCAGUUUCCCCAGCCACGCUCUUUUUAGAGACAUUAGGACACUUCCUCACCAAAGGAUGAGGAACUCGGGAUGACUACAAAUCUCUCCAGGACACUCCCAAAUGCUUUGGGUCGAUGCCUGGAAGGGACAUCAAUCUCACAUUACAAGUUUCACGGAACGAGUUGUUGUUCCAGUGGAGAGUACCAGCCAGGAAACACCAAGACUGAGAGAGAACAUUCCCACUGAGCAAGCAGUGCUAAGCGUAAGUACACUACAAUACUAUGAUCCUAUGAUGGCUGUGUUUUUGUGCAGUUGUGUGAAAGCCUCGCUGACUUACUGCAGCAAGGGGAAAUCUACCAGUCCCCUAGGGUAAAGCAAAAACAGCAUAUGUACU